rnacentral:lncRNA from 10 species
GGGCAUAGUAGAUACUCAAUAAACUGUGGCUUUAGGAACAGUCCUAGGAAUAGUAGUGCUAGUUCUUACUGUGUUAGUCACAGACAUCUAGGGGGCAUGGACAGCAAGGCAUUAAUCUGGUCCCUUAUUGUGGCCUGUGGAAAGGGGUCAGUGAGAAGCUGCUCAGUGAAACAGCUUUGCAUGAUGACAUUUUCUCACUAUAGAGGCCUCCCAGCUGUCACAGAGGCCUGUUCAUCUAUUUUAUUUUUUCUUUUUUUGAAAGCAAAAACACUUUGAGAUUUGCAGGUAGGCUGACAUAACCCACUCUCAGGGGCUCCAGUGAAAGUACCUCUUUUAAGUGGCCAAGUUGUCACUAAAGAGAUGACAUCUUUUUCCUGGAAAUCAGCGUUGGAUGCUACAGUCAAGAAAAUAAAGACCCCAAACAUUGGUAUUUGGAGCUAUUCUUGAGCAUUGGGUUGUUCAUGUUUAUUCAGCUGGACCAUCAGGGACAAGCUUGUGCCUUGACAAAUUCAGAUUUGCAGAAAUGACCAGAUUUAUCGUCUUGAUUCAGUGAGCGGGGGAGGGCACCCAGAGGAGGCUGGAAUAUGGCUUGAUAAUGGGAGAAGUAUUUUUGCGAGGUUUGCUCCGGAUGGAGGAGGAGAAGGAGGAAGAGGGGGAGGGGAGGAGGAGGAUGAUGUCAGGUGUGAUGUAAGUGUGGGAGUAAGUCUCCCUUGUGGGAUCUUUAAGAAUCACUCCCAAGUGGCUGCAGCAAUUACAGUCCAAGAAUGAUAUGAAAGUACAGGAUUUAUGCUGCUCCAAGGUCCUGGAGAGGGAGGCACCGCAUGCGUGCAGGGCCGUGUUGGAUGAGAGCCAAGGGCCCAGGCUCUGCAGUGCAGGUGGGGGGUCGAGAAAGAGAGAGAACCCGUGGGCAAGUACCUGUGUCGGGGGGUCAGGGUGGGGCACACAAGCAGAAGGUAUGAGGGGAUUUUACUGGUGCAUUGGAAUGUCGCUGGGUCACAGUCGGGGGAAGGCAAGAAGGGGACCUGGAGGCAGAGACCAGGCUUAUCACACCAGUGUGCCUAGUUGCUUGGGGGACUCACAGCCUGUGUGUGAUACUGAGGCCUCAUGGAAGUAUGAAGUUUUAAUAAUUGAUAAUGUAUCAGGGAAGUGGGAGUCGCAUCUGCACUGGUUGUUGUUUAGAGGGGGGCUCAGAAGAAGUAGGGGUUCACUGAGGGUGAUGGGCCGUCAGGAGGCAAGGAUGCCUUGGUUGUUGCGUUCCCCCAGUCAUAAAUGAGUGCAGCAAGUGGGUCUAGGGCGUUCUUGGUUAGAAAGCAGGAGUCCAUCUGUCAAGCGGGCGUUGUGGCGUUUCGAAGCUUUGGCAAGACCUUGGGGAAAACCACGUGUCCUGUGAAUGCACAGUGGGUUACUCGUCUGUCUUCUUAGCCUGAUGAAAGGCAGGGCUGCCUGUUCUCUUUUCUCAGUCCUUACAGAUCUUGUAGAUUUUCUCACAUUCGCUCCUGGAGAGGUUUUGAUGCUCUUAGGAGGGAAACGCCUUGAUGUUACAGUUCCGCAGAUGUUUCCAUGAAUGUGAGUUUGAUCCUUUGUGAUCGUCUUUGUUGUCUGCUCCUUAAAUGCAUUGAAUCCUAGCAUCCUUGGAAUUUCAGGAGGGAAACUGAUGUUCAGAGAAAGAGGAUAGUGGUCAGGGACCCAGUGUUACAGGGGUAUGUGUGUGUGUCUGAAUGAGGGAGGGAUGGGG